AGGCAGAGUUAAAGUUCUCAAGACUUGGUCAUGCGAAAGAGAUGGGACUUGAUCCUACAAGGCAGCUCUGCACCGAAAUCGUACACACAUCAUCUGCCUUAAUUUCUAAGCUCUCAGCUCAUUUUUAUGUACUUGGGAAAUUUGCUGUUCUCCGAGUGGAAGAAAUCCUAGAAAAAUUAAUUAUUUAAUGAGUUUCAAUAUUCAAAUUUGUGGCUGUUCGCUCAGAAUGUAAAUGCAGAGGCACGUUUAAAUUUUAACCAGAGUUCAGUGCAAAUUAAUAUCCACAUGGGCAGUGUGCAGCCAGACGAGAAAGGGAAGAAAAGAAUGUCUUCAAAGAAAAUAGGACAGAGGUCCGCUCCACUGUGAAGCUCGUUGCUCUGCUUCCAUGAUGAGGUGCCCAGCAGGAAGGAGCUUAGAUGCUGAUCCCAGAUCCAGCCUUUCAAGUGCUUCUCAGAAAAGAAAUGGGGAAGAAGGCCAAUGGAAAACAGAGAUCCUGAGGGUCAGGACCUACUCCGCAGGGCUGUGCCAAGACCUGGUUGGAGGACAGGUAAUUAAAAUGUCCAGAGUGGAUGAGAAAGCUCUUCUGGCUGCUGUAAAACCACAUUAUCUGAACAGCCAUCUCGUCUCAACCCAGAUGUUCAGAUCUCUAUUGGUUAUGACCCCAGGAGGGAAGAAGGCAUGAUUUAUUGAGUCAUUAGACAUCCAGCAACCCUUUCCUACCCGGUUGCAGCCUCUGUCUGAACCUUCUCCGUCUCUUAUCUAGAUCACUAAACACCCUGUGACCCGACCUUCCAGAGUCAGCAUCCACCUCCCUCCAAUCCCCAGAACCAGGGUGACCUUCCUAAACAGCACCAUUCUGACCUCCUUUCCUCUCUCCUGUGAAGAAAGACUACACUAAUGGCUCUCUCGUUCACAUGUCUGUCCGUACCCACACCCCUGGGUAGCACCUCUCCCUAUUGACUCUGCCCCGUGAUUUGCUUUGGCCAAGGGGGUAAUAACAAACAGUGACACAGCAGCCGCUUGAAACACACCAAACCACUUACUUGUCUGUUUCUUCUCUCGAACUCUGAGUGCCCACACCAGCCUGCUGGAGGGUUGUAGGAGAUGUGUCGAGGAGAGCUGAGUUAGCCAGUCAAGUCCAUGAUGAAUAACCCAGGCUCACGAAACCUGAUGGCUGACUUCAAAUACAGAAUGAGUCCAACCAAGGGGGCGGACUGCCUUCACCAACCAGCAGGCCUAUGAAAAACAAGCAAGCUGUGUUCAGUCUCUCUCUUUUGGAAUGGUUUGUUAUUCAGUGCCUGUAACUACCUCUGCAAGCAAAACAGAACCAAAGAAUCCCAGAACUCCCUAACAACUCGUGAGGCCUGUGAUCUUUCUGAGCUCUGUGCCUUCGAGCUGACCAACUCACUCCGCUACCCAUCGUUGUAAGCAGGCUUCCUACAGCCCGGUCUGCUCGAGCAACUGUAUCCUGAGUUUUGUGUCUGGCUCUUCUCCUCCCCCAACCCCAGCCCCGAUCAGCUCCUCUGUUCUGAUGACCCCUUACGUGGAAGUGACUCUCCUACCCUUGCUGCUCAGACCAGAUCAGAACUUUGAGUCAUGACUCAUUGGGUCACAAGAUAAGCUUAGAUAUGCAUAACUAGCGGUUUUGGUUUUGGUUUGCCCUGGUUUUUUGUUUUUUGGUUUUUUUUUUUUUUUUUUCUAUGCAGGGUUUGAA